AUCUUCGGCAAUGGGCGAAAGCCUGACCGAGCGACGCCGCGUGUGCGAUGAAGGCCCUUCGGGUUGUAAAGCACUGUCGAGAGGAAACAAGCCGCAAGGUUGAGUGACCUCUGGAGGAAGCACGGGCUAAGUUCGUGCCAGCAGCCGCGGUAAGACGAACCGUGCGAACGUUGUUCGGAAUCACUGGGCUUAAAGGGUGCGUAGGCGGAAUGGCAAGUCGGAGGUGAAAGCCCCCAGCUUAACUGGGGAAGUGCCCUCGAUACUGCUGUUCUCGAGAGAGGUAGGGGCGUGUGGAACUUCCGGUGGAGCGGUGAAAUGCGUAGAUAUCGGAAGGAACGCCGGUGGCGAAAGCGAUGCGCUGGACCUUUUCUGACGCUGAGGCACGAAAGCUAGGGGAGCGAACGGGAUUAGAUACCCCGGUAGUCCUAGCCCUAAACGAUGGGUACUGGGUUGCGGGUCAGACAUGGACUCGCAGCCGAAGCAAAAGUGGUAAGUACCCCGCCUGGGGAGUAUGGUCGCAAGGCUGAAACUCAAAGGAA
rnacentral:rRNA from 1 species